AGCAAUUAGCAUAGACCACAAUAACUAAGAUAUGAUUACCAUCUUCUAAUGUGUGAUGUAGUGUCAAACGUUGUUCAGAAUAUGCUACAACCCCCCACUUGAAUAUUGCACCCAAAUCUUUUCGUUUGUAUUAUAAUUAAUAUAUUGUAUCCCCUAGCCUUCUUUUGUACCUCCGAAUUUGCCUAUUACUUUAAAAUGGUUCCAUCAAUGCAAUUAUCAAAAACAUGUGUCAAUGUAGAACCCCAUGAAAGGAUGUGUUUUAACAGACCUAAUAUUCAAAACAAUGUUUUAUGAAUAAUUCAGAAAUUGAUUUUAUCUUCCUUAUGAUUUGAAAUCUUGUAGUAAUUGUUGUACUCGUCUCUCCUUUACCCUUGCCUUUUCUUAUUUUGCAGUACAUCUUUGGUGAUAAUCGUUACUUCUGUAUAUCUAUGUCAUUUUCUUCUUCUUUUUUCCUUUACUUCAAUGUUCUUUACUGAGAUUCUUUGCCAUGAUUACAGGGCCUUUGUUCAAAAAUUUGUGUGAAAUCAAUUCAUGUAACAUUUCGAUUGGAUCAGAUUUUCCAGCAAGAAAAGGUGUAUUAAUUCUUCAUCAUCACCUUGUUGUGGCUUUUUAUAUCCAUGUAUGUUAAAUUUAACCCUGCUCAUGUGACCAUGUUGAGGCUCAACCAUAUCUCCUAGUAUCUCUUCUUCAUCAACAUUAUUCUCUCUGCUGCUACUACAAGUGUGGGCAUUGGAACCUUCCUAUUGUUACUAUCACCGAUCUUUUGAUCUCCAUCCCUGUCGUACUACAUUCCUAAGCACAUUGAGGGUCAAAUUUUUCAGGUAUGACUCCCCAAGGACAAACCAAAAGGUCCUCGAGGAGGACAAACUUUUACUAAGAGGCUACCAAGGCAGCGUGCAGGCAACACCCAUUUUUGGAGGUGAUGGCGCGUCGCACGCCCAACACUUAGAAGCAAAAAGAUGACUUUGCAUCGCAGGCUUGUCACGAACCUUUCUGCCUCAAAUUAAAUUGCAUAAACAAGACUGGAAAGUGCCACCGCGACGCGCAACCAUAUCCUAGAUUUGGUUGUGUCGUUUCAAAGUCAAGUUAGACUUAAUUAGAAGGUCUAACUAGUGUAGGGGUGUUUUGGGUACUUUGGAAUUUCUUAUAAAUGGUUUUUGAGUCACUUUUACCCCACUUCACCAAUCAAAUACAAAAACCCUCAAUUCAAAAUCAAAAGCUCUCCGUUCCCUCUAAAUUCUCUCUCUCGAAAACCUCCAGUGAAGAACUUUCAAGCUCCAAGGAAGAAGGUCCAUUCUCAAAGGUUUCAACCCAAAUUUCGGGGAUAUGACUUCAAUAAGUUAUUCAUAGGUGAAGGGCAUUUCAGGAGCGAAGCUUGGAUUAUAGGAUCUUUCAAGCAAGUUUGAAGAGCCUUUAUGUAUUGAAUUGGUUGGAUUGGCUAAGGAUUGGAGAUGUUGAUGGUAUUGUGGUGUAGGUGACGAUUGAGAGGAGUCAUUGAAGUGAAGCUUUGGCAUUAGUAUUCAUUGAAGCAAGUUGGGGUAGGUCUUCAAUUAAUUCGAGGACAUAGUCAUGUUUAGAUUUUCUUGUUAAAGAUAUUAUAUUAGACUUUGUUAUUUCUAUUAUGUUGAUACAUGGGCCGUGACCCAAGAUAUUUGUGUGUCUAAGAUGGCGAAAACGAUACUUAAUAUUUCCUAUGUUUUCUAUAAAGAUAAUUUUGGAACUA